AUAUAAGAAAAUUAACAACUUUAGUGUUACUACAUCCCUAUUCAAAUUGCACAUUCCCCAAAAUCAAGAAUCACACGCACCUCAAUACAAGGAAGCAAAGAAGGUUAUCCAGGCAUAUGUAUCACCAAGGAUCAGAGGUCUUAUGUAAAAGUAUCUCUGUUAGUCUUUCAGACAAUCAAUCAACAAAAUGUCAAAUAGGAAAAGCAAGGUAUGAGACGGUAAUGUUGGAAUUUAUUUGCUCAAUGACCUUUCAGUACGUUGAUAAUGGUAAUCUCCAAAGCAGCUUUGGCAUGGAUGCCAUGCACAAGCCCACGAGUAGACUCACAUCUGAGUCUUCAAAAUACAUAGGACUCAGCUACAGUGCGAAGUAUGUGGAUUUACCAAAAUGCUGGUCCGAGCUACAGUGCAAAUUAUGUCCAACAAGAAAAGGCCAUUACCCGAUGUUGGUCCCAGCCAUCUGGUGACUUAGGAGAGGUGGACUGGUUAAAAUCCUAAUAAAUGAUAUUUUUAUGCACAAAAUUACCACUCUCAAGACUCAAACCCACGUUCUCAUGCUUGACAGCCCAAGAUUUUACCACAUGUCCCCAUUUAUAUAUAACUUAUUGUUUAUUGGAUCUUUGCUGAUAAAUAUUAUUAGGAGAAAAAAGGAAAACAACUAGUUAGGGCUGCAAAUUGUAUCCAAUUGUUUGAGUUCGAAUUCAAAUUCGAUCCCAUUAAGGGCGAUCAAAUAUUAUAAUUGGAUCAAAUAUGUAUCCAUAUCCCUAUCCAAUGCUUAAAAGAAAGUAAUAUUGUAUCUUCUAGUAAUGUUGGUUUUAUUGUUGUGUAUUUACUAAAUAGUUUUAGGUUCAAGUUUCAUACAACUAAUUUUCAAUUCAAUUUGCUCAUGAAAUACAAUAUCAAAGUCGUUUUUAGUUUAAUUUAUUCUUACUAUUCAAUAUCUGAUUGCAAUCCAAAUUCAAUAUAAAUCCAAUGGAUAAGAUCCGAUUUGAAUUCAAAUAAUAAUACAUAUAGCCGUUUUGAUUUAAUCCAUUUGCAGCCCUACAACUAGUGUAGCCACAUGGCAAAUAGGCAAAAACACCAUCCAUGUACAUUGUAAUAUUAUUUAUGUGCAACAUUUGGGGGGGGGGGAGUCACCUAUUGAACUCCUCCACGUCAGAUUCUGAUUCCCAUGUCUAUGUCCAAGCAUGCGGCUUUUGAAAAUGUUGCGCCUAGAACCUAGGUGUGCCUUUUAAAUCACUGCCUCAUUGUGAGAACUUCUCUAGCAUCAAGUUGGUAUCAAAGUGUCAUUUGUACCUUUGGGAUUUAACAGUUCUCGAUUGUUGGAAUGGUUCAUUGACGUGGUCGUGGUGAUCCUCCUCUAUGUGAGUGAGACUUAUGCAAUGUUGAAAUGAACGAGUUGAGGAGGUAAUUGUAGCAACUUUAACAAAAUCUAGAGCGCUUUGAAGCCUAAAGUCAUGAUGAGUCACAUCAUGAUUCAAAGGAUAAAAAAUUUCGUGAGGAUCGAGAAGAGAUUAACCCCUUCAAUCAUGAAGUGACGAGCAAAGAGGCUUUUCCCUGUGAUGCUCGAAGGAACAAUAGCUUCUAAUGAGAUUUUGAACAUCAAGGUGGAAUUCCAGAAUUUGAAGUAAGGAUGCAACCAUAUAACUUCAUAGAGUGGCUUCACACCAUUGAAUGAGUCCUUGACUACAAAGAUGCACACAAUCAUCUCAAGGUGAAGCUUAUGGCCAUCAAAUUGAAGAAGCAUGCUUCAAUUUGGUGGGAGUACCUCAAAAACCGAUGAGCUCAUGAACGAAAGAGUCAAAUUGUAACAUGGGAAAAGAUGAGGAAAGAGACUAAGAAGAAAAAGAAAUUCCUGCAUGAGAAUUACUGCCAAUAUGCUUUUUCAAAUUUCAUAAUUGUAGGCAAAAGGAGAUGAUAGUGGAAGAAUAUAUUGCCCUCAUGAUGCAGUGUGAUGAUAGUGAGGAAAAGCACACAAUUGCUUGUUAUCUUGGUAGGUUACGAGCAGAAACAAGCAGAGUGGAAGAAUUGCAACCAUAUUGGACUUAAAAGAUGUUAUCAAGCUUGCAAUUAAAGUGGAGUGGCAACUUAAGGAGGCCUAUGGGAGGAGCUAUCAAUUUCUCGAUCAUGUUAACUCUAAGCAAGGGAGUAUCUCGGCUUCCAAGCAUAUUACAGCCAUUUUAAGAAAGAUGGUGCGGCUAAUUGUAUCCAACCAAGCUCUUCCAAUGUUAAGCAGGUUAGGUGUUUCAAAUGCUAAGGUUUUGGUCACAUUAUUGCAGAUUGUCCCAACCACAAGAUGAUCUUUCUUACUUUAGAAGAUAUAAAAGAAGAGGCCAAGAAAAAUUCACAUUCUUCUUCUAACCAAGGAGAGUUUCUUUUCAUUCAUCAAAACUUGAAUGUGGCCCGUUGUCCAUAUGGAAGAAGAAGCUUGGCUUUGAGAGUAUAUCUUCCUUAUAAGAUGCACUUUUUCAUGGCAAGGUGUGUAAUCUUAUUAUUGAUGGAGGAAGUUGUACUAAUGUAGGAGGCUAGCAGCUACAUUAUAGUGGAGAAACUGAACCUAAAGAUAGACAAACAGCAAUACUCUUACAAGCUCUCAUGGCUUUACAAAGAAAAUGAGGUAAGAGUUGAUAAAUGACACUUGAUAGAAUUUCCAUCGGAAAGAAGUAUUGUGAGGUGAUGUGUGAUGUUGCUCAUAUGGAUGCAUGUCACAUACUUCUUGGCCACGCAUGGCAAUAUGAUAGGAGGAUUCAUGAUUGGUUCAAAAAACACUUAUCCUUUUUCAAAAGAUGGAAUGAAGUCAUAUUGUGUCCGUCCAAAUUAGAGAGUAAUCCAAAGACUUCUAAAGAGAAGGUAAUUACUUACUCCUCUAAAUCUAAACUUGAAAAGAUGUUAGAAAAAACAAAUGAAGUUUAUGUUCUUUUGGUGGUGGAAGAGAAUGAACAGAAAAUUGAACCCCUCCUAUUUUAAAACCAUUCUUGAGGAAAAAUAUAGUGAUCAGGAAAAGUCCACCAGUCUUUGAUGAAGAACCCAUCACUUAAGAGGAAUCUUUUAUCAUCUAUAAUGAAUUUCAAAGUAACGGAAACAACAUUGAUCAUAUUGGAGGUUUUCACUUCUUACAAGGUUAGAAGGAUCCUUAUUGGCAAGCAUUUUCUCAAGGUUUAGAAUAACUAUUAAAAGAAGAAUUGGCUUAUUUGAAGUGCAAAAAAUAUGUUUCAAUAGUUAGAAGACAUAGUGAAGGAAUUUCAGUACAUAUCAGAGCGUUACACUAUCAUUUGCCUAUCAAAAGCUUAGUAACAAAAAAAAAUAGUGGAAGCAUGGUAGUAAGUUACUCUUAUGGUGCUGUUAAGACUUGUAGGAAAGUUUAACACCGGAGUGUCCACAUUCAUAGAAAAGGGUCAAGUUUGAAUUUGAAUACAAGGCUUGUCUGGAAAAUGUGCAGUCACAUAUUUUGGGUCCACUUCACACUUAAACCUGUGUUUUUCAAAAGGCAAACCAAGUCUCUAGAAAGCCCUAUGAGUCUACUUUCCAACACAAUAGGCAAAGCACGGUUUGGAGUUUUCCAUGAAAACUUAUGACCAUUUUACCUCCAAGGGUAGUUUUGACUAUGGGAUUCCAAAAAUGCAUUAAUUUUGCUCUUUUGAGUUUCUCUAUGUAUUUGCUAUUUUCUAAUUCUGACUUCUCUAGAACUGUUCAUGAAUCUUGUUAUUUGUGACUGUUAUUAGUUUUCUUGGCAAUUACUCAGCUCGGGGACUUUUCCAGAAAAACUUGUUCACCACCACCCAUGAGCCUAAUCUGCUCACCAUGGCACCAUGUUACUCAUCAAUUCAUCCUCCUUCAAUGGACAGCUUUUUUUCAUAACUUAUUACUUCGAUGCCCAUGGACAUCUCUUGGAGGUUUCUUUUAUCUCCUUUCAAUUCUCAUUAAACAAUCCUCAGCACCAUCAGAGACAUCAUUUCCUCUUGGCCAUAUUUUUCUACAGGUGAUUAGAAUUGGGCUAUGGAUCCAACUUCUAUUUGUUAGUGCAGUUGCAGCAAAGAAAGGAUUGUGUGCCAAUGCCAGCGGUUUAAGAAUGGACUAGCUUUAAUUCUUAACAAUUUUGGCAUUUUUCCACAGAAGGGAUUUCGUAUUUUACAGGAAUUCUGUUUUGGCUCUGAAGUGUCAUACACCGUAAAGUACACUUUGCUUUUGCUUUUUUUUUGUUUUAUUUUCAUAACUACUGAUUUCAUUUAUGUUCUUUCAGACAAUAAAAAAUAAAUGGUAUGGCAGAAUGGUUUCUAACCAGAGAAAACAUCAUGUUACAAUAUAAGGAAUUUAACAGUAGCCUACAUUUCUCUACAGAUAAAAAGUAAUGAACGUGAUUGCUUCUCCAAAAAGGUUUCAGCAGAUGCCACACAAACGCAUUCUCCAAAUUGACCACUGCCCAGCAUAUGCUACCCUAAACAUGUUUCGCAAUCCAGAAAUGCAACCAUUUUUCUUAAAAAAGAUUUAUACAAAUAUAUUCUCUCCACCAAUUUUAUGAAGGGGAAAGGCAUGAGAUGAGGCUCUCAAAGCAUUUGAUCCGUGAGGUGUAAGCAUCAAGGCAUGAGAGUUUAAUACCAUUUAGAUGUUUCAUUCUUUUAAGAAAAAAGUAACUGGAAUA